rnacentral:rRNA from 1 species
UAGGGAAUCUUCGGCAAUGGGGGCAACCCUGACCGAGCAACGCCGCGUGAGUGAAGAAGGUUUUCGGAUCGUAAAGCUCUGUUGUAAGAGAAGAACGAGUGUGAGAGUGGAAAGUUCACACUGUGACGGUAACUUACCAGAAAGGGACGGCUAACUACGUGCCAGCAGCCGCGGUAAUACGUAGGUCCCGAGCGUUAUCCGGAUUUAUUGGGCGUAAAGCGAGCGCAGGCGGUUAGAUAAGUCUGAAGUUAAAGGCUGUGGCUUAACCAUAGUACGCUUUGGAAACUGUUUAACUUGAGUGCAGAAGGGGAGAGUGGAAUUCCAUGUGUAGCGGUGAAAUGCGUAGAUAUAUGGAGGAACACCGGUGGCGAAAGCGGCUCUCUGGUCUGUAACUGACGCUGAGGCUCGAAAGCGUGGGGAGCAAACAGGAUUAGAUACCCUGGUAGUCCACGCCGUAAACGAUGAGUGCUAGGUGUUGGGUCCUUUCCGGGACUCAGUGCCGUAGCUAACGCAUUAAGCACUCCGCCUGGGGAGUACGACCGCAAGGUUG